rnacentral:rRNA from 1 species
GACAUGCAGAGAACUUCCAGAGAUGGAUGGUGCCUUCGGGAACUCUGACACAGGUGCUGCAUGGCUGUCGUCAGCUCGCGUCGUGAGAUGUUGGGUUAAGUCCCGUAACGAGCGCAACCCUUGUCCUUAGUUACCAGCACGUUAUGGUGGGCACUCUAAGGAGACUGCCGGUGACAAACCGGAGGAAGGUGGGGAUGACGUCAAGUCAUCAUGGCCCUUACGGCCUGGGCUACACACGUGCUACAAUGGUCGGUACAAAGGGUUGCCAAGCCGCGAGGUGGAGCUAAUCCCAUAAAACCGAAUCGUAGUCCGGAUCGCAGUCUGCAACUCGACUGCGUGAAGCCGGAAUCGCUAGUAAUCGUGAAAUCAGAAUGUCACGGUGAAUACGUUCCCGGGCCUU